rnacentral:rRNA from 1 species
CCCGACUGCUAUCAGAGUAGGACUAAGCCAUGCGAGUCAACGCCGCAAGGCGUGGCAUACGGCUCAGUAACACGUAGUCAACAUGCCCAAAGGACGUGGAUAACCUCGGGAAACUGAGGAUAAACCGCGAUAGGCCAAGGUUUCUGGAAUGAGCUCUGGCCGAAAUCUAUAUGGCCUUUGGAUUGGACUGCGGCCGAUCAGGCUGUUGGUGAGGUAAUGGCCCACCAAACCUGUAACUGGUACGGGCUUUGAGAGAAGGAGCCCGGAGAUGGGCACUGAGACAAGGGCCCAGGCCCUAUGGGGCGCAGCAGGCGCGAAACCUCUGCAAUAGGCGAAAGCCUGACAGGGUUACUCUGAGUGAUGCCCGCUAAGGGUAUCUUUUGGCACCUCUAAAAAUGGUGCAGAAUAAGGGGUGGGCAAGUCUGGUGUCAGCCGCCGCGGUAAUACCAGCACCCCGAGUUGUCGGGACGAUUAUUGGGCCUAAAGCAUCCGUAGCCUGUUCUGCAAGUCCUCCGUUAAAUCCACCUGCUCAACGGAUGGGCUGCGGAGGAUACCGCAGAGCUAGGAGGCGGGAGAGGCAAACGGUACUCAGUGGGUAGGGGUAAAAUCCAUUGAUCUACUGAAGACCACCAGUGGCGAARGCGGUUUGCCAGAACGCGCUCGACGGUGAGGGAUGAAAGCUGGGGGAGCAAACCGGAUUAGAUACCCGGGUAGUCCCAGCUGUAAACGAUGCAGACUCGGUGAUGGGUUGGCCUCGAGCCAACCCAGUGCCGCAGGGAAGCCGUUAAGUCUGCCGCCUGGGGAGUACGGUCGCAAGACUGAAACUUAAAGGAAUUGGCGGGGGAGCACCACAAGGGGUGAAGCCUGCGGUUC